UACGUAGGCAGCAAGCGUUGCUCGGAAUUACUGGGCGUAAAGAGUGUGUAGGCGGUGCUCCAAGUCUGGUGUGAAAUCUCCCGGCUUAACUGGGAGGGUGCAUUAGAAACUGGAAUGCUAGAGGAUGGGAGAGGUAAGCGGAAUUCCUGGUGUAGCGGUGAAAUGCAUUGAUAUCAUCUGGAAUACCGGAGGCGAAGGCGGCUCACUGGGAGUUUUCUAACGCUGAGGAACGAAAGCCAGGGUAGCGAACGGG
rnacentral:rRNA from 1 species